GGCAUCUUCCAGCCUUGCUCUCGGGGAAAGUGCGUGCCGCGGGAUACGCCAAAAGCCCGCGCCCCAGCUCAGGAGCCGCCGGCGGGAGAGAGACAGGCGAGCGGGUUAGCUCUGGGUGCAGACAGGUAGGACGGGGGAGAAAUCCUUGCCUAGAUGUAGCGGUCGUGCUCUAAAAGGUGCUCGACAUCACGUUUACUCAGCACAAGAUCAAUAUUCAGUAAUCAAUAACGGCUAAUCACCUGGUCCUUCUGGCAAAGAAGAGAGAGACUUCUGCUUUUCCACAGAAAUCAGAACAUGAAUUGGAGAGAUUCGGAGCAUUCUCCUAGAGGGGAAAGUCAGCCACGCAGCCUCGAGUCUGGCUGGCAACAAUGCAAAUGGAAGGAAGCUGUUCUUGAGUUGGGGCGUCCCAGGGAUUGUACCCACCUUAGAGGCAUCAGUGGACCCCAGGCCAUCAUCAUUAAGAUGGAAGCGAAGUUGUGUCAGUUUGGGGGGCUGUGGUCAGAAUCUGAUCAUCUGCUACCUUAAGAUGAUGGGCCCUCAGUUCAGCUGCUUCCGGAACUGAUGUUCCUGGGUCUUGUCAAACUGUACCUGACUGAGGACGUUGGAGCAGAUCUAUCUGGACACUUAGGACUUCAAUCAGGAAAACCAUUAAAUUGUGACUCUUUUUCUCCCCUAAAAGCAGAAAAUGGGCAGUGGGAUGUGGUAAAGAGCAAUUCUAAUGGGAUUUGUUUGUUUGUUUGUUUUCCUUUUUAACUAUUCAAGGUUUUGGUUUUGGUAGGUGAAUUUUCAUGCACUGUAAUUUCAGCUUUUGGUUAUUAGUUAAGAUCUUCAGGCAUCUCAUCCGUUACAGAUGCAAAACAGAAAUGUUUCUUGGGUGGGGAGAAAAACAGGUUCUGAUUUUUAUUAUUUAAAUAUUUAGUUAGUUAGGUAAAAUCCCCCAAAAUGAGUGCUAUGGACCAGGUGGGACUGGACUGUGAAUACCUGGAAAAAGAAAAUUCUUGAAAUCAUUAAACGUGUUUUAUAAUGCA